CUCAUGUAUUACAGACUUAAUCGUUGAUUUACUCUUGACUAAAGAAUCAAUAAUAAACAAGCCAUGGUAGAAGGCUAAAACGAACCCAAUAACAAAAUAAAUCAGUAUGCUAAGCGACCAAACAACAAGUUGAAUAUCGACCCUACAAACACGCGCUGUCAUUGCUUCUGCUGCUUCUUGAACACCGUGUCCCUCAUUAAGCGGAAUUGCUACAUGUGAUUUAAAAAAACAAACAAAAACGAUACAUAUAAAUCUAUUGCAGCUUCCAUAAUCUAUAUGAUGCAGAAUGUGUAAGAAGGAAAUGAAAAAUUAGAAAGUGUGGAGGAGGUGGGAAGGAUUUCGGUCGGAGCGGGGAUCCAGGAGUCUCCUGGAGCUGGACCGCACUUUGAGCCAUGCUACUCGUCAAGCAACAUGAUAUUAGUUAUACACGUGUUCUUAUUUCUUGCCGAAACGACUACUUCCCAAAAGAAUCCCAAAAAGGCCACAGGCAGUUCAGACUGGAUAAAUUUCUUCGGAAGAAACAAGCUGCCGUCGGACGGGGUCGAAAUAGUGUGGCACGAAGGGGCGAAAGGUUCCGACGAGCUGUUCAUCCAGACUCACGGAGAAGAGAUGAAACUGAAACUGGAACCGAAUACGCCGAUUUUGGAUCCGCACUUUGUCCUGAUUUCGAGAAACCAGAACCACAGCGAACUCUUGCCCCUAGGACUGGUCAGGCCCUCUUGCUUCUACAAGAGCACCGAACAAUAUAAAGCCGCUCUUAAUAUAUGCGACGGAAUGAGUGGCAUCGUCUCAUCCGGCGGAGGUCAUUUUUACGCCAUCAACCCGAUCCCGGAGACGGUGUACAGGCGUCGUGGCAACUGGAUUCCCCAUCUGGUCGUCAAGAGGUCCACCGGCAGAGGGUUGAACAUUAAAACGAACGACGAACUUUCUAGGGGGCAGAGCGGACGUCACCUCCUGCCACCGGUUCACGUCGAAACGGCGGUUUUCGUUGAUCGCGAUCUCUAUCGACACAUGACGACCAAUUUUCCAAAGAAUACGGACCAACAGUUAGUCACUUUCGUCCUCACUAUGGUCAACGCUGUCCAGCUUUUGUAUCACGAUCCGUCCCUCGGGCGGCCCGUUUCUUUCGUGAUGAAAAGGCUCGAAAUCCUCCACUCGGACCCACCGGCUCUGCACCGUUCCGAGGACAUCGACAGGUUUCUCAGCAACUUCUGCAGCUGGCAAAGGGACGAGAACCCUCCGAACGAUUCCGACCCACUUCAUUGGGACCACGCUCUCAUCCUCACCGGCCUCGACCUCUACGUCCUAAGCAAAAACGGAAAGAUCAGCAAACAAGUCGUUGGGUUGGCACCGGUCGCAGGCAUGUGCAACCCAACGAGCAGCUGUACCGUCAACGAAGGUCGCCACUUCGAAAGCGUGUACGUCGUCGCUCAUGAGAUCGGCCACAAUUUAGGUAUGAGGCAUGAUGGUCCUCUUGCCGACAACAACUGUGAUCCUGGGAGUUACUUGAUGUCACCGACAUUGGGAAGUGGAAAAAUUAAGUGGUCCUCAUGCAGUAGAAAUUAUCUAAACCAAUUUCUAAGGACUCCACAGUCACAUUGUUUAAUGGACCACAGUUUGAAUAGUGUACAGUUGGACCAUGGUGGAGAAGGGAUGUUGCCAGGCGAACGUUUUGAUGCAGACCAACAAUGCAUUUUGAAGUAUGGGAGAGGGAGUAGACAUUCAUCUACCCAACCGAUAGGCGACAUCUGCCAAGAUUUGCACUGCAUGAGGGAAAGAUUCACAUGGACCUCUCAUCCUGCCCUUGAGGGAACGUCAUGUGGCCUAGGCAAAUGGUGUAGAAGCGGGAGAUGCCUCGAUCGAGGACUUAAUGCCCAACAAGCAGCCAGUCAUGUUGUGAAAGGUGGUUGGAGUGAAUGGGGCCCUUUUUCAGAAUGCGCUUCAGGUUGUUUGUAUGAUUCGGGUGGAGACCUUGCAGGAGGAAGUACAGGUGUUAUGGUGGCAUCAAGAUUUUGCAACAAUCCUAGGCCUGAAAAUGGAGGAGAUCCUUGCAUAGGAAGUGAUAAAAAAUAUAAGACUUGUGUACCACAUCAGUGCAGUAUGAUACCUAAAUCAAGCAUCCAGUCUUUUGCGGAUGAAAUUUGCUUACGAGCGAGGGAAAUCGAUAGCGAUUUCACUGGAACAGGGUUUCAGAAAAUGAGUUCUGACUCCGAAGAGGCUUGCACAGUUUGGUGUCAUAAAAGAAAAACAGGCCUUGAUUCCAAAGGGUGGGCAUUCCCUGACGGCACAACUUGUCAAACGAGCAGGCGUCAUACUCCGAUGUAUUGCAUAUCGGGAGUCUGUCAGGAGUUCAAAUGCAACGGGGGCCCUGAAGAAAUAUUUAUUCUCAAUUCCAACACAUGCUCAAAUACUAACUUUGUUUCUCGAGAUAAAAGAAGAGAAGUUCCGGUCGGAGUUUGGACCCCAAUAAGCGAAUGUUAUUUUAAUUGUAUCUCACCAGGUCUUGGUCUACAACUAGUCGAAAAAAGGGCUUGUCGAUAUUGCAAUACUACAUCCAGUAUUCAAAUUUGUCAGCCAAAUACUAAGUCAUGCCAAAAUAUUAUAAGCCCUACAGAACAUGCAACAAACGUUUGCACAAAGUACAGUCAAAAAGUGAGAAGGCUUUCUGGUUUUGGAAUGCAACUUUCCCCAUCAAAUGACGAGAGUGAUAGAUCUUGCCGCAUCGCUUGCCAAGAUGAGACUGUCGCAAAUCGCUUUUAUUUGGUAAACGGCGAAGAAGGUUGGUUCCCUUUUGGAACUGACUGCGCUAAAGGAGAUCCAACUAAAAAAACAUAUUGCGUCAGUGGUAAAUGUCUGGUAAGGUCUACUAAUAUUAGUGUUGAACUGGGUGUUGGUCUGCGAGUUGGUGAACUAGUGCUGAACCGGCAUUGGGUUACAGAGUCUGUCUUCACUCACAGGUUUGUUGAACUAAAUGGUUACAAACUAGAUGGUACAAUGCCAAAACGCAUUUUUGUAGUAUUUUUUUUCCCAUGAGUGAAAAUGUAGACAGUAACUAACCCAAUGCCAGUUCAGCAUAAACUACUGUUUUAUUCUUUUUGGCCUGUUCCACUGAAGGAGUAGGGGUAAAAAUCUGUCAAAUUGGCUGAGAAGAUCAAAGAAAGUGGAAAAGGCCUUCUCAACAAAAUGUGAAAUAAAAUAAUAUAAAAAGCACAGAAUCCGAGUGAAAUUCCACAAUAACUCAAAAAUGCAGAGUUAAACUUAAUUAUUUCAGACAGGUUGGAAAGCAUCAUGGGGUCUUCCAGUGGCUUCAUUGGUCGCCCUGUCUGCUUCUUCAAAGGAAAAACUGCUGGGCUCAUAAAAAUGGAAAUAACCCUACCAAACUGUAUCAGGUUAAGAAAGUUGUUGGCCUCUGGUCCUCAACGAACGGGUCAAAAGGGGAAAAACAUAUUGACUUACACAAAAAUAAUUCAUGGGCGCCAGAAAGCCUGUUUUUCAAGAAUAAAAUAAGAGUCGAGCACAUUUUCAAUUUUAGAAGACUUGAUAAGCAAUAUUUUAGUACAUUGUCAAACCUGUGCAUUGUCUUGGAGUAUGGUAAUGAGCACAGAUCGCUGUACCAAUACCUCAGGGUCAUAGGGACUUUUAAAUGUAUAUAAUGUUUGUGUUGUGUUUAUGAUAAUUAAUUGGAAUGAAUGUCAUUUAUUGGCAUGAAAGAAAGGUUUUUUAAUCCAAUAGUUUGAUAGUUACUAUUAUGUUGGUCUACCUAUCCUUGCUGAUUUUUGUCCAGUAAUUAUCAAGAAUAGGUUUACCAUCUUGCAGAUCAUAGGAGGAAAUCUCACGACUUUUUAAUUCUGCCCCUGAUGAAUAUCGAGUAUUUUGUGGAAGUGAAUGACAUCUAUGUUUUUUAAUUGGGUUUGGUGUUUACGUUAACUUAUUAGAAUGAAUGUAAUUUAUUAGCAUGACAGGAAGUGGUGCUUUAACCGUGCCCCGAGGAAUGUCGAGUUCUCUGGAGUGAGCAUGUGGGGUAGGGUUAGGAGGUAGGGUUCGGGACUUGCUAUGCUCACUGUCUUGACCUGGCAUGCACCCCUUAGAGAGAGGAAGACCUUUCCCCAUUAUAAGCGGUUGGUCAGGGUUAUAAGCAAGGUGAGGCAAGUUGCUGACUCCUUCAUUUUGUGAAUUACACCUGUGCCUAAUGCCAUCCACCAAAACAGCUAUGCUACUGAGAAAGAAUAUGGUAGAGUUGGACUUAUGCCAAAUGCUUGAUUCUUGAGUGAACCCUUAAGACUUAAGUUUAGAAUGGUUGGUAAUGAAGGUUGGUGGUGUGAAAAACCUACAGCUUGGCUGUUUCCAAUCAUUUUUGACUUCCUAUCCUCACUGACUUGGCCAAUCACAUGUUUUGACCUUUCGUGAUUAUGACUGGUAGGUCAGGGAUAUAAGCAGGGUGAGGCAAAUCACUGAUGUUUCGGUGGUUUGAUCUUUUAAGUUGUACCAUUUUUAAGUUUCUAAUUUGUUUGAGUGAUGGUUUUAAGCGAUACAGAUUCGGCAAGAAUCGAAGCAUAGUUGGAAGAUAAAAGAAGACAAGCAUAUGAACCAAGGCUUAUCAUUCCCAGAACAACCGUCUGAAGGGUCUUCCAUCAUUACCAAGACACUGGAGGUUACUCAAGAAGGCAUGGAUCAGGUCGCCAUCAUGUCACAUCUCUGAAAGAUAAUCGUUUCAUUGUUUCAAAUGUACUUUGUAAUCGACAUUCUGCUGCUGUUGAGAUCAAGCAACGACUUCAACAAGUUAGAAAUGUUAAGUUUAUGCUCGUAAGGCAAAGACUUUCAGAAGCUGGAUUACAUGCGAGAUAGCCUGCCACUGGUCCAGAACUUCUAACAAGACACAGAACAGCUCGAUUAAGUUUUGCAGAAUAUCACAAUUGGUCUGAGCAAGAUUGAACUGAAAUCUUGUUUUUGGAUUAUACAAGGCUUUGUUUGAGGUCUUCUGACAGCUGACAGAGGGUUUGGAGAAGAACAGGAAAACAACAUAUCCCUACAACAUUUUCACAUUGGAAAAGGUACGGAAGUGGUGGUAUUGAUGGUUUGAGCAGGCAUUUCUACAGAAGGUCGCACAAACUUGAUCUUUACCUAGGGUUCCCUGACAGCUGAGUGAUACAUUGAAGAUGUUUUGCAACAAGAAGUUUUUCCUUAUAUGCCACUAAUAGGUGACAGUUUUGUUUCUAUGCAUGCCCCACACAGUUAGGAUCGUUGUGACUACUUGGAACGGGCUUCUAUUCAGUGUUAUUUAUGUCCUGUCCAUAGUCUAUAUGUGUAUAUAUAUAGUCUUUACAGCAUUAUUUCACCAAUUACAAAUCAACAUUAUUGAAA